CGCCUCCGAUUCGCCGUGUGGGGGUUCGUAGCGGCCGGCCUUGGUGCCGCUGCCACCCCGUCGCCUUCUGCUUUUCCAUCGCUGCGCCCAAGCUGCAGUGGCGCUCCUCCUCUCCUCUUGCUGGACGCUCAACAGGGGAGUACAGUCCGCCGCUUCCAGUGCCGGCACCUAGGCGCCUGUAUUGUCCUUCACCAAGCCGGUCGCCGCCCUGUAGCAGCUGCAACAACGAGCCCCCUGCCCCAUCGUGUAUUCUAUGUGAGCAUGUGAAGCCACCAGGAGGUGCCUAGAAGGAAGAUCAUAGGAUGCCGCCUGCACAUCGCACAGGAGGGCGACACCAGGACACCGUUUCAACAAAAGACGGGGCCAUCACACUUGGCAAUCAGGCGGUCAGCCUCCGAGUCCCAUGCCCGAGCCAUCUCUGCACCACAGGAAGUAGUCGAGUCCAAUUGGAAUUUAUCUCUCUAUAUGAGUUUUCAAUCUGGAAGGCUCCGUGCUUGAUGCUUGAGUACAGUGAAUUCACCAUGUCACACAUGUGGACUAACAACCUUUGGAACUUUAAGCCAUGCCAUCUUCUGGGCCCAAAAGUGUUCAUCUGAAGCUAAAGAGAUUACUCCAAAUGGUAACCACACAUAAUUCCCCAAAUCUCUCAUGUACUAUUUUGGCAUGUAGAAAUUGCAGAAUCUCAUUUGCAUAUAUAUGUAUAGAACCUCCCAACGAAUGAUGUAUUUUUUGGGUUCAUGCCCUAUUUCAUGUCGUUGAAUUUUUUCUUGAUUUAUUUUCAUGUUUUGGCUUCAUGGUCCAGUUCCAUAGGUUACCUUAUACUCCAGCUUGCCCUAGGUUGCGCCACCACCAUUGCAACUAUACGCCUCCCAAUAGUGGCUGGGACGAGGCAGGUAGGAGUAUGGGCGAAAAAGAGGCGGGGAUGGUGAAAUGGCCAUCGGGAGAGGGGGUCGAGUGAGGGAGGGUGGUGCCCAAGGGAAAAGUAGGGAGGUUUUCUCUAAGCACAACAGCAGCGGUGUCAGUUCCCUUGUGGUGAAGACAGCGGCGAGGGACCUUCCCAAGCUCCAGGACAUAUGCCUUGACGCCUUAUUUCUGGCAUUGUGGGCACGGACAAGAUCAUCUUUUCCUAUGCACUGUGUGUGUGCGCGCUCACGUUUCUGCAGUUUUGCAAGUAUCGAGGAAGAGGUAUGUUCACAGUUUUCUGCAUAGAUAGAUGAAUUUGCUUAUACUUUUUUCGGAUGUGUUUUCAGUUUUUCCUGUAUGAUUAAAUAUUUUCAUGCAAUUCUGUAUGCCUCUCUUCAGCUGGCUAAGCCAUACUCUGAAGUUAACUAUAUGCACAGACUGUCUGUCGGUGGCUGCGUCCUCAUUUGUACCAGACAUCCAUAUUGCUGCUAUGGCUGAGUGUGACAUGUGGAUAAUCUUUUUUUGUCUUCACAGUUUAUUUGGUCGCACAUAUAGAUGUUGAUAUGCAUAUAUUUUCCUGUAACUGACAGCCCACAACCGAUACUCCUGGCAAAUAUGUUCAAGAACUUUGGAUGAAGAACCUAUCCCCUACAUAAAAGAAAUGUCAUAGAGAUACUAUAGUUUUUCCUCCUUUUAUGCUACAAAUCUACGGGACAUUCAAUGACAUUUUUCGUUGAUAAAUACAUGUGAAUCAGGACACGUGCAUGACAGAUCCGGAGAAGAUGGUCGAUAAACAAUGCAGGCAAAACCCAGAAAAAAACAAGAGAUCGUGGUACAGAACAGAAGGGAACAUCUCCCUAAACUCUAUUUGCUAGAGGAUCCCAGUCCUAAUAGCCAGUAGUUUCUGUGCAAUGUGACAUUGGAUAAAACAAUCCAUCUCAACAACAGAAAACGGCGCAGCAAAGCGCGCUAGGUCCAUCUAGUACAUGGACAUGUGCAACUAUGUUACCUUCUCAACGGUGAGGUUGCCGAACUGGUUGAGCGUCAGCCACCUAACGAGUUCCUAGAUGUUCGCCUCGUGUGUUGGAUCCUCCUAAGCAUCUAUGGCGUGGAGGAGGUGGAUCUGAUGAACGGUGCGUGCCACCUAUUGAUACUCUGCUCAAAUAAUGUCUUGAAGUCCGAUGAUGAGACAAAAUUUGCCGAAAUUGUAAUCAAAUUGUUGAGCGGUUAA